rnacentral:tRNA from 1 species
GGGGAAGUAGUCUAGCUUGGAUACAAAAUCCGCUGCGAUUUUGUGAGAGCAACAUGAUUCGUGCCUGGGGCGCACGAGGUCGUGGGUUCAAGUCCCAUCUUCCCCA